UUUUUUUAAGGUUUAAGAUUUGGAUCCUCAGUGAACCAGGAAAGAAAAGAACGAUGAAAUCGUUGAGAGUUUUCCUAGUGAUCCUGUGGUUUCAGCUGAGCUGGAUGAGGAGCCAACAAAAGGAGGUGGAGCAGAAUCCCGAAUCCCUCAGUGUUCCAGAGGGAACCACUGCCUCUCUGAACUGCACAUUUAGUGACCGUAGUUCUCAGUACUUCAUGUGGUACAGACAGCAUUCGGGGAGAGGCCCUGAGUUGCUGAUGUCCAUAUACUCCACUGGUGACAAAGUAGAUGGAAAGUUUACAGUGCAGCUUAAUAAAGCCAGCCAGUAUGUUUCCCUGCUCAUCAGAGACUCCCAGCCCAGCGACUCAGCCACCUAUCUCUGUGCCGUCAGCGCACAGUGCUCCACAGGCACCUGCAGUCUGUACCCAAACUUCCUGGGGCCCAGGAGUGCCUCGUGA